rnacentral:lncRNA from 1 species
CUUUCAGAUGAAGUGAUUGAAUGUACUGUACCUAAGACUUGUGUCCAACUUUCCCAAGAAAUCUAAAUGAUCAUAUCUUACAAAACAGGCAUCAAGUUGCAAAGCUGCACCAUAUGUGUAUGGACACAACAAACCAAUCUGGCUCACCACAUUGACUAUGCAUUUAGCGCAGUCUUCUGUCUUCAAAUCACCUCUGCAUUGAUACAAGCCGUUAAUUGACCCAUCCGAGGAGGCGGUUGAGCUGUCGUUUCCGAGAGAAAAGCUGUUGUAAAGUGCCUGUGGAGCCGAAUUAGAAAUGGAGGAUAAUAAAGAGUUGAGAUUUGUUACAUAGGGAGAAUUGAGCGUGUAUUUAUCUUGUGAACAGCUUGCGUAUAUGAAGAUGUGGGCUUUGACAAUGAAGAAAUGAUUAUUGAGAAAGAAGAAGAGAAAGAAGAUCUCAAUGGACUUUUGUUGAAGGUUUCUCAGCAUUUUCUUUCUUUACUUCGUAAACUUUUUAUGUUUUUAACUGAUUUUUAGCUAUCGUGCGAAUUUCCCAAUAGGUUUUUCUUUCGAAUACUAUUGGUGUUGAAGAAUUUUUAGAGUGGGAUUGCUUUUUGGUGUUUCUUUUUGUGUAUUUUAGGCACUUUUUCUUUUUUGAUGAUCCAAUGGGAUCGGAUUGGUGGAAUACAU